ensembl:Mt_tRNA
ACUUUUCUAAUAUAAUCAGUAUAAAUGACUUCCAAUCAUUUAGUUUCAGUUUUAAACCUGAAGAAAAGUA